CGCACCGGCUGCUGGGCGGGAACUGGUCGCGUCCGGACGCGCGACAGCUUCCGCCCGCCUUAGGCAGUAUCAGCCGCGCCGCAGUCGGAGGAAAUAGAUGCGGGGCCUGAGGCUCAUGGACUUGAGCAAGCCUGUUACCCUCUGCGAGCCUCAACUUCUCUAUGUGUAACAAAUGGCCAACUUUAUGGGAUUGUCAAGAAGCUGAAAUGAGACCCUGGCUGGAGGAUAUUUUAUGGACUAUAAAUUCCUAAACAAUUAUAAUAACUUAGUUAUUUAUCCUAUCCAUGGAUCACCUGGAAGUUUACAAUGUGAUUUAAAAUGCAUUCUAUCAUUCCACCGACCUGCAGUGAAUUUUGUUGUCGUUAUUACUCCAGGGACACCUAAAGGGGAAGUUUGUUUAUAAUUCAUACCCACUCCUUGUAGAAAGGAUUCAAGGCAGCCGAUGAUGAAAACACCCAUGCUUGCAAGUGAAGGUUCUGCCUGUCACUUCUCGCAGAGGCUGCAGAAAAGGCCCAGGAGGCUGUUGAUGACAUGAACGACCACCAGGAGAAGCUGGAGCAGGCUGAUGCACAGAAGGGUGGAGAAGAGGGACACGUGCCAGACAACAGCUGCAGAGGGCUCCAGGCAGACGGAGUUCCAGAGCGAACGGUCAUACAGAUAAUUCCUAUCCCAAAAAAUAAGGAGACCAGGGGUCAGGCGAUAAGUAAGGAAAGCCAAACAGGCAACCCCAGUAGAAAACUGGGGUCUCCCCUGACCAGGUCAUGGGACUGGGCUCAUGAGGGUGACCAUUACUGCUCCAUUUGCAAUUUUCUGAGUAUCAGAGGAGCAAGAUGCUAGGAUGUGUGACCCAAAGGAGCUUGUAGUUCGUCUGUGUGUCUUUUUGUCUCUCUCUCUCUCUCUGUCUGAAAAGACCAAGCCCAAGCCUCCACCCAUUUACCUACUAUGCAGGUCUUUGAAUGGGUAACCAUAUUUCCAAGCUUGUGUCUGAUUGAAGGACGAAACAUCAAACAUGCAAAAAGGACCAUCUUUCAGAGCAACUCCAGAAGUGACAAAGCAAAUCAGGGCUCCAAGUAAAGCCAGGCCACCUGACAACAGAGCAGUAAGCACCUGCGGAGGGAGGAGAAACGCUGAGCUAAGACGGGGUCGUGGCUGGGGAGCCUGUGGGGCGGUCUGUACAGGUCUGACUUCUCUGGUCUCGGUGUUCUUCCGUCCUGUCAUGGGGGAGAAUUCUGUCCAUGGCACCCCCUUUGAAGCAUAACCCAUGGUGGGGAGGCCGUGAGGGGUUUCUAGGAGAGAAAGGACCAAGAAGCAGAAUCGCAGGCCCCGGAUCUCCCUGACUCCGUGAGUUCGCCUGAGCUGCUCAGCAGCUUGGCAUCACAAACCUUUUGCACAUUACAGCCAUUCAGCCUCUGAGCUAAAGAGGAAGCUACCACAGGCCCACCACUGACUCUUCUAAGGAAAAGCUGCAUUUUCAAAAGUUCCAGGUUCCCAACUCUGAUUCUUCUCUAUUUCAAAUCAAGGAUAAAAAAAAGGAAGGGAGGGAAGGAAGGAAAGAAAGAAGCAGGAAAGAAGGGAAGGAGAGAAGUGGGAGGGAGGGAAAGAAGGGAGAGAAACAGCGAGAGAGAAGCUGCAGCCAAGCUCUGAAAUGACUCCACUUGUCGCUGCGUUUCUCCAGCCAAGAGCUUUCUUGGCCAUCAGUCUGUGCUCCCACUGCCCUCCCAGAAAAUAACUGGGUUUCCUUCCUUGACAGGUUUCUAGGCUGCUUCUAUAUUGGCUUCUUUCUCGUUCCUUCCUUCCUUCUUUCUCUCUCUCUCUUUCUUUUUGAGACAGAGUCUCGCUCUGUCGCCCAGGCUGGAGUGCAGUGGCACAAUCUCAGCUCACUGCAACCUCCACCUCUGAGUUCAAGCGAUUCUCCUGCCUCAGCCUCCCAAGUAGCUGGGACUACAAGCAUGCGCCACCACACCCAGCUAAUUUUUGUAUUUUUAGUAGAAAUGGGGUUUCACUGUGUUGGUCAGGCUGGUCUCAAUCUCCUGACCUUGUGAUCCACCUGCUUCAGCCUCCCAAAGUGCUGGGAUUACAGGCGUGAGCCACCGUGCCCGGCCCAUAUUGGAUUCUUUCUUAGGGUUCUAGAUUUUUUUCUCCCUCCCCCAAAAAUGCCUGUUUUAAAAAUGUGAAUAACAUCUACAUAGCGUUUUUCUGCAGAGUCAUGGAGUCAUUCUCCCACUGAGGUCAAGCUGGUUUGGAGUUGGGGAGGGAUCAGAGAAAGGUGCAUAGUAAGUUUUGACUCUGAGUUAAAGGAUUCAAGAUGAAUCAGUAAGCCUAGGGCAGUGGUUCCCAAAAUGGGGUCCCUGCCCAGCCGCAUCACAUCACCUGAGAACCUGUUAGAAAUGCAAAACAUCCCCCUCAUCCUGAAUCAGAAACUCUGGGGAGGGAGCCCAGCAAUCCGUGUUCCGGCAAAAGCCCUCCAGGUGAUUCUCAUGCACAUUCAAGUGUCAGAACUACGUGCCUCAGGGAAAACCAGAAUGAGAACAGACAGUGAAUGAAAUGUGCAAGUGUUUAUUUAUUUAUCUAUUUACUUAUUUAUUUAUUUAUUUUGAAACGGAGUCUCGCUCUGUCCCCCAGGCUGGAGUGCAGUGGCGCCAUCUCGGCUCACUGCAACCUCCGCCUCCCAGGUUCAGGAGAUUUUCCUGCCUCAGCCUCCUGAGUUGCUGGGAUUACAGGCGCCCACCACCACGCCCAGCUAAUUUUUGUAUUUUUGGUAGAGACGGGGUUUCCCCAUGUUGGCCAGGCUGGUCUCAAACUCCUGACCUCAGGUGAUCCACCCAUCUUGGCCUCCCAAAGUGCUAGGAUUACAGGCGUAAGCCACCGCGCCUGGCCUAUAUUUGAUUUUUUAACAUGUAACUGAGUCAGUGGGCUUCCCAACAUGUGGGCUGCAGAUAUCAGAGCAGGCUGUGGAGUUACCAUAAGGCCACAGAUUCAUGUCUGAGAACGAGUGUGUGUGUGUGUGUGUGUUACACAUAUACUGAGAUCUUUCAAGUUUAUACAGUUGCUGCUGUAAUUAAUAAGGUAGAAAUUUAUUCUGGGCCUCAGUUUAUCUGUAAAAUGGAGGGGUUAGAUUAGAAUCUAGUGAUUAGAUGAUCUCUGGAAAACUUUCCUGUUCUAAGAAAACAUUAGUUAAAAUAACUAGGAAAAUUUCCAUCAAUGACACAUGAUUACAGUGUCACAACUCAUGUCCAUAUUGUCCAACACCCUAAGAGAGUAACAGUUUCUCACACUGGUACAGACGUCUGGGCUUCACUAAGCACUACUCCCUUGACUUGAUCAGCUCCCAUUUUACAGAUGAAAGCCUGAAACUGGAAAGAUGAAGCAACUUGCCCAAGAACUUAGCGUUACUGAGGGUCACAGUGAGGACCUGACUUCAGGCCCCAAGACCAAAAUUGCCUCUUUACCACCUGCCUCUAGAGUAAUAGAGGUGGAGACACUCUGGGUGUUAGAAGAGUGGAAUCUGGUGCUUACGCUUCGACAGAGCCCACUCUUACUGAAGCAGCCGUAUCUCCAGCCCAUCAAGGAGAUGAGGAUAGCUGCAGUGAGUACCUGCAGGAGAGAGAAGAAUGUUGAGAUGGGGAAAUUGACUUUGCCAGCUGUUUCUAGGUGCUGCCCACAGCUGUUAGAGUGGCUGGCACCUCACAUGAACUCAGUCGUCCUGUUGACUCUGACUCUGGGGACCCACAUGUGUAUGACGAGCCUGAUUUAACGCUGUGGAUGUUAACUUUCACACCCGACCUGCCUGGUCCCAAGCUAGGUUUCCUGUCUCUUAGAGCUUCUACAGAUCCAAGACCAGCUUGUUAGAAUAAACUUUUCUGCAAGGAAUCAAAACACUCUUCCCAUGCCACCUUCCUGCUCCCCGCUGGGGUCUCUUUGAGAGUUCAUGUUCAGGGAACCCCGGACACUUACCAUGAGGCCUCCUCCCCAGAGCCCAGUUCCCAGCAUGGCAUGCCUGCCAAGGAGGCCCCUCAACAGGUAGGUGACAUCCCAGUUAGGAAGGAGGAGUGCCACGUUGGCCCCAGCAGCAAACAGGGCUGCAGUCCCAAGGCUCAGUCCCAGGAUACGGGAGCAAGUCCGUGAGCUUGCCGGCGUGCAGGGAGAGGACACCAUCCUGGAACAGAUAGAAAGGGAGUCGCGGCAGCUCUGCUGUGGGGGGAUGGGGAAGGGAACUCCAGCAGCAUAUCAUGGGUGAGGGAAACAGACUACAGAAACCGCCACCUUCCAGGGUCAGACCAAUGAGAGCCAAGCAACCUGCUUAAAAACUCUGCUCCUUAGGAAUCUUCCCCAGUGACUAGGAUUUAAUUGUUUCCUUUUCUGCUAACCCCUGUUCACACAUACAUAGUUUGCAUUCCAUCAUAUUUUGUUUAUGCCUCUAUUACAGCCAGUGAUUAUUUCUGACAAAAAGAAAUGUUUAAAGGUGUCUUCAUGAUGUCCAUUGUCUCCACUUCUAUUCAACGUUGUACUGGUCCUAGCCAGUGCAAUACAAAAAUAAAAGGAAGCAAACGCCAUACAGAUAGGUAAGAAAGAAGUAAUAUUGUCGGCCGGGUAUGGUGGCUCACGCCUGUAAUCCCAGCACUUUGGGAGGCUGAGGCGGGCGGAUCACGAGGUCAGGAGUUCAAGACCAGCCUGGCCAACAUGGUGAAACCCCGUCACUACUAAAAAUACAAAAAUUAGCUGGGCACGGUGGUGGGCGCCUGUAAUCCCAGCUACUGGGGAGACUGAGGCAGGAGAAUUGCUUGAACCCGGGAGGCAGAGGUUGCAGUGAGCUGAGAUCAUGCCACUGCACUCCAGCCUGGAUGACACAGCAAGACUCCAUCUUAAAAAAAAAAAAAAAGUAACAUUGUUAUUAUUCACAGAUAAUGUGAUCACAUUAUGUAGAAAAUCCUAAAGAUUAUUAGAAUUAACAGGUGAGUUUAGCAAGGUCAUAGAAUAAAAGAUUAAUAUACAAAAAUUCUAUUGUAUAUACAAGCAAUGACAAAUUGAGGAUUGAAAUUAAAAUAUAUCAUUUACAAUAGCAUAAAAAUAUAAUACAUAUGGAUGAAUUUAACAAAAUAUUUGCAAGACCUAUAUAGUAAGAAUUGCAAACCACUGCUGAGAAAAUUAAUGGAGACCUAAAUAAAUGGAGAUAUGUACCAUGUUCCUGAACCAGAAGACUCAAAAUAGUUAACAUGUUCUCCCUAAAUUGAUGCAAAGAUUUAAAGCAAUAUCAGUCAAAAUCCUAGGAGAGUUUUGUUAUAGAAAUUGACAAACUGAAUCUAAAUUUAUAUGGAAAUGCAAAGCAAUUGUGAAGAUUAGCCAAAGCAAUUCUGAAAAACAAACAAAGCUGGAGAACUUACGCCAUGUGAUUUCAAGACUUACAAAGCUACAGUAAUUGAAGACACUGAAGCCACGCGUAAGGAAACACAUAUGGACUACUGGAACAGGCUGGAGCUCAGAAACAGACCCUGUCCAGGAAAAAAUGAUUUUCUUUUUUUCUUGAGACGGAGUCUCGCUCUGUUGCCCAGGCUAGAGUGCAGUGGCGCGAUCUCAGCUCACUGCAACCUCUGCCUCCCAGGUUCAAGCGAUUCUCCUGCCUCAGCCUCCCGAGUAGCUGGGACUACAGGUGCCCGCCACCAUGCCCGGCUAAUUUUUUGUAUUUUUAGUAGAGACGGGGUUUCACCGUGUUAGCCAGGACGGUCUUGAUCUCCUGACCUCGUGAUCCGCCUGUCUCGGGCUCCCAAAGUGCUGGGAUUACAGGCGUGAGCCACCGCGCCCGGCCGAUAAAUGAUUUUUUAAGAAGAUGACAAUUCAGCGGGAAAAAGUCUCUUCCACAAAUGGUGCCGGAACAACGCAUAUGCAAAACAAAACUGCCUUCACUAUUACUUCACAACAUAUUCAAAAAUUCACUUGAAAUGGAGCAUGAGUCUAAAAGCGUUAUAAAAUUUCUAGAAUAAAACACAGGAGAAAAACACUGGGACCUUGGGUUAGAUAAAGGUUUCUUACUAAAAUGCAAAAAGUACAAUCCACAAAACAUGAUUAAUCAGACUGCUUAAAAAUUUAAAUGUCGGCUGGGUGCUUGCCUAUAAUCCCAGCUACUCGGAGGCUGAGGCAGGAAAAUCGCUUGAACCCAGGAGGCAGAGGCUGCAGUGAGCUGAGAUCGCGCCACUGCACUUCAGCCUGGGUGACAAGAGCAAGCGACUCCAUCUAAAAAAAAAAAAUCAUGCUAAAAGAAAUAAGCCAGACACUAAAGGACAAAUAUUGUAUGAUUCCACUUAUAUGAAAUAUUCAAAAUAACAACUUUAUAGAGAAAGAAAGUAGACUGGAGGUUAUCAGGGACUGUGGGGAGGGAGGAGAGAAUGGGGAGUUAUUGUUUAAUGGUUACAGAGGUUUUCGGGUUUGUUUUGUGUUGUUUUGGUUUUUUUUGAGACAGAGUCUUGCUCUGUCAGCCAGGCUGGAGUGCAGUGGCACAAUCUCAGCUCACUGCAACCUCUGCCUCCUGGGCUCAAGCAAUUCUCCUGCCUCAGCCUCCCAAGUAGCUGGGACUACAGGCAUGUGCCACCACGCCUGGCUAAUUUUUGUAUUUUUAGUAGAGACAGGGUUUCACUAUGUUGGCCAGGCUGGUCUUGAACUCCUGACCUCAGGUGAUCUGCCCGCCUCGGCCUCCCACCGCGCGCGGUGGUUUUGGGGUUUUUUUUAGAGAUGCAGUCUCACUAUGUUACCCGAGCUGGUCUUCAACUCCUGGACUCAAAUGAUCCUCCAGCCUGUGCCUCCAGAGUAGCUAUGACCAGAUCUGGGCCACUGCCCACGGUUUAAGGGUUACAGACUUUCUGUUUCGGGUGAAGAAAAGUUUUGGAAAUAGAUAAUGGUAAUGGUUGCACAUCAUUGCAAAUGUAAUUAAUGUCACUGAAUUGUACACUUUAAAAUGGUUAAAAUGACAAAUCUGAUGUUACAUACUUUACCACAAUAAAAAAUCAAUUAAAAAAUUUGUGAUUACUCAAAUACUUAUCAGUAAUCAAUAGGUGAAUCAAGACAAAUUGUGUUAUCCAUACAAAUGAGUUCUAUUAGGUAAUAAAAUGCGUAAAUUUCUGCUACAUAUAACAUGGAUGAAUCUCAAAAGCGUUGUGUUAAGUGGAAGAAGCCAGAAACAAAAGACUACUCACAUGUUUCUAUAUAUACGAAAUUCUAGAAAAGGCAAAACUUUUAACAGAGAGCAGAUGAGCGGUUGCCAUGGGCUGAGAAUGGGAAAGAGGAUUAGUUAGCAUGGGGCAUGGGAAGCUUUCUGAAGGGGUGGAAGCAUUCUGUGUCUAGAUUCUGGUGGUGAAUACAUAACUGUAUGUAUUGACAAAACUCAUUAAACUUUGCACUUAAAAUAGGUGAAUUUUAUUGAAUUUUAACUGUAUAUCAAUAAAGCUAAUUACAAUUAAAAUGUCAUAUCUAGAUAAAUUAUAAAA